AGAUUGAACGCUGGCGGCAUGCCUAACACAUGCAAGUCGAGCGGCAGCGCGGGGGCGACCCUGGCGGCGAGCGGCGGACGGGUGAGUAAGGCAUCGGAAUCUGCCCUGAUGUGGGGGAUAACGUAGGGAAACUUACGCUAAUACCGCAUACGACCGAGAGGUGAAAGCGGGGGACCGAAAGGCCUCGCGCAGCAGGAUGAGCCGAUGUCCGAUUAGCUGGUUGGUGGGGUAACGGCCCACCAAGGCGAAGACGGGUAGCUGGUCUGAGAGGACGAUCAGCCACACCGGCACUGAGACACGGGCCAGACUCCUACGGGAGGCAGC
rnacentral:rRNA from 1 species